UACGUAGGGUGCAAGCGUUAAUCGGAAUUACUGGGCGUAAAGCGUGCGCAGGCGGUUUUGUAAGUCAGAUGUGAAAUCCCCGGGCUUAACCUGGGAACUGCGUUUGAAACUACAAGGCUAGAGUGUGGCAGAGGGGGGUGGAAUUCCGACGUGUAGCAGUGAAAUGCGUAGAGAUGUGGAGGAACACCGAUGGCGAAGGCAGCCCCCUGGGUUAACACUGACGCUCAGGCACGAAAGCGUGGGGAGCAAACAGG
rnacentral:rRNA from 1 species